rnacentral:rRNA from 1 species
AAUCUGGCACCUUCGGUGUCCGAGUUGUAAUUUGAAGAAGGUAACUUUGGAGUUGGCUCUUGUCUAUGUUCCUUGGAACAGGACGUCACAGAGGGUGAGAAUCCCGUGCGAUGAGAUGCCCAACUCUAUGUAAAGUGCUUUCGAAGAGUCGAGUUGUUUGGGAAUGCAGCUCUAAGUGGGUGGUAAAUUCCAUCUAAAGCUAAAUAUUGGCGAGAGACCGAUAGCGAACAAGUACAGUGAUGGAAAGAUGAAAAGAACUUUGAAAAGAGAGUGAAAAAGUACGUGAAAUUGUUGAAAGGGAAGGGCUUGAGAUCAGACUUGGUAUUUUGCAAGCCUUACCUUCGUGGUGGG